rnacentral:rRNA from 1 species
GACGAACGCUGGCGGCGUGCUUAACACAUGCAAGUCGAACGGAAAGGCCCUGCUUUUGUGGGGUGCUCGAGUGGCGAACGGGUGAGUAACACGUGAGUAACCUGCCCUUCACUUUGGGAUAACUUCAGGAAACUGGGCCUAAUACCGGAUAGGAGCUCCUGCUGCAUGGUGGGGGUUGGAAAGUUUCGGCGGUUGGGGAUGGACUCGCGGCUUAUCAGCUAGUUGGUGGGGUAGUGGCUUACCAAGGCUUUGACGGGUAGCCGGCCUGAGAGGGUGACCGGGCACAUUGGGACUGAGAUACGGCCCAGACUCCUACGGGGGGCAGCAGUGGGGAAUAUUGCACAAUGGGCGGAAGCCUGAUGCAGCGACGCCGCGGGCGGGAUGACGGCUUUUGGGUUGUAAACAGCUUUCGCCUGUGACGAAGCGGGAGUGACGGUAAUGGGUAAAGAAGCACCGGCUAACUACGUG